GAGGCGCAGGCGCGCUGCUCGCCCGUCUGCAGCCCCGCGCCGAGCGCCUGGUCUCGGGGAGUUGAUGGCAGCACCACAGUGCGGCCGCCCGGCCGAGCGCACCGCUCAGCCACCCGCCGCUGCCCUCCGAGCAGCCGAUAUGUGGGGGGACUGGGGUGGGAGCGGCCGGAGCAGCGCCAGGGACCCGGGCGCGCAGCAGCCUCUGCUCGCUCGCCUGUCCUGACCUGACUCGCUAGUCCCCCGCCCCCGAAGAAUGUCAGCCAAGUCCAAGGGGAACCCCUCCUCGUCCUCUGCAGCCGAGGGACCUCCGGCAGCCUCCAAAACCAAGGUGAAGGAGCAGAUCAAGAUCAUAGUGGAGGAUCUGGAAUUAGUCCUGGGCGACCUGAAGGACGUGGCCAAAGAACUUAAGGAGGUGGUUGACCAGAUUGAUACCCUGACUUCUGACCUACAGCUGGAGGAUGAGAUGACUGACAGCUCCAAGACAGACACUCUGAACAGCAGCUCCAGCGGCACAACGGCGUCCAGCAUAGAGAAGCUCAAAGUGCAGGCCAAUGCCCCCCUCAUUAAACCUCCAGCACACCCAUCCGCUAUCCUCACGGUUCUGAGAAAGCCAAAUCCUCCACCACCUCCUCCAAGGCUCACACCUGUAAGGUGUGAAGAGCCUCCUAGAGCGGCGCCGACUGUCAAUCCUGUGAAGACCAACGGCACCCUUCUACGGAACGGCGGCUUACCGGGUAGACACAACAAAAUUCCAAAUGGAGACAUCUGUUGCAUACCCAAUAGUAACUUGGACAAGGCCCCAGUGCAGUCUCUGAUGCCCAGACCUGAGAAGGACAGGAGUCCCCAAGUAGGGCCUCCUCGGGAACGAGUACGGUUCAGUGAAAAAGUACAAUACCAUGGCUAUUGUCCUGACUGUGAGACCAGGUAUAACGCAAAGAACAGGGAGGUCCAAAUGCACAGUGAACCAGUCCAUCCGCCUGGAAAGAUCCCUCACCAAGGCCCUCCCUUCCCUCCUCCACCUCAUCUCCCCACUUUCCCAUUAGAAAAUGGGGGACUGGGAAUAAGCCACAGUAACAGCUUUCCCCCUCCCACACCUGCAGCUGUAACUCCUCCCACUGCACCAAAACCACAGAAGACUAUCUUGAGAAAAUCCACCACUACCACAGUGUGAUGUCUGCCAUUUAAGAAAACAUUUUGUUUGUUUUUAAUUUUCUAUAUGAUAAACAUAAAAUGAUAAGUAAUGAGCACUUUCUACUCAAGCAAUAAAAAGCCCAAAUAUAUUAAUCUGCAUUCGACAAAGUGGCAUAAAAAUCACCUGUCCUCUUCUGAGUCCCUGCUGCCACCUGCUCAGCUCUGUGCUACAGUCAGUUGUGCUCACUGAACAGCUUCGUGCCUGCUCCCUCAGACACUGCUCCUUUGCCCUGUGUUCUUUACAGCCCUGCCUGCAGCCAUCUUUCCAAACUGCAGAUCUCAGCAGUUCUCCUUCCAGCUUCAUCAGGUUGGAAGGAAUACCUUUAUUUAGAGGCAUGUGGAUUCAUUUUUCUUACUCCAAAUUGAUCCUUGACCUUUUGAUGCCAGAUCUAAUUUUAGUGUAACCAGGAUCCUGACCCUGUCAGAGAAGCUAACCCUUCCUUUGGAGCACAAAUGACCAAUGAGAUGAUCUCCAUAAAAUCAUCUGCCUCUAGCCUGAUAGCCAUGCACAGAGCCCAGGGGGGCAGAAAAUGCUACAGCCUUAAAAUACCUUCACUCACAAAUUACCAAGAAGAUACAACACACAGAUGAAAAGGACUAAGUUUUUUAAAAGCCAACAGGUAAACAAAAUCAAACAAUCUUAUUUCACAAUGGAAAAUCAGUAUUCCCAGACAUCAGCCUGCCCAGAAAAAAAAAUAAAUUUCAUCAAUGAAGUUAUUAAAUUGUACAACAAUUUAUCAUUUUAUAAGGUGGAGAUUUCUCAACUCAUAAUUACUCUUCAUUCCAACAAAUGUAGACAAAACCAAAACUGAACCAGCCAGAACAUUGCAUGAACAGGAUUAGGAGAGAUGUUGCUGUUUGCAGAAAUGGACAUGUCCACAGUCUGUCCACCCUCAAAGCCAUAAUGGAUAGCAGCAUUGGCACCAAUUGCUUGAAAAGUCCCAGUAUUACAUCCGCCACCUCAUAUUGGUUGAGAGAAGAAGUCGGUUUGCACUGAUUACUUCUCCAUGCGCUUGUGAUAUUUGCACAGUUGCUUCCUUUCAGGGUAAUGAAAUGUUUUGUUAUUUGCACAGAUGAUCCCACCAAUUUUGAGACCAUACGAAGCAGUUUUCUUGGAGGCAUCCAAAAAGGAUUACUUGAGAAUUCUCAAGAAAUUAGUUCUUUUUUUUUUUUCCUAGUUAACAAAAACUCAGUUACUUACUUAAAGAAAUUAAUUUAUUUCUGAACCAAACUGUAGAAUCAUAAAUAAAACAUCACUGUGGUUAAAUGAAUGAGAAUGAGAUCAAAAGAGGAUUUUUUUUAAUAUCAUUAAUAUUAAGAAGCUGAACACAGUAAACUGCAUACUAAACAGUAAUGCUUAAUUCUAUUUGUUCUGUUAAUUCAAAAAGUCAUUUGUAAUUUGUAUUUAACAUAUAACGAUUUUGUAGUCAUUUCUCCCUAUGUCUCCUGGGAAAAUGUAUCAGACAAACAAACAGCAUUUUUUUUUCAGUUUAUUUUUCUAAAUAAAUGUGUUGUUUGUAGAAGCUGUGGUUGUUUAUUUAAUUUAGUUUUUGUUACCUGGGGUUCCUCCUUUUGUUUGACUAAGAGGUUUUUUGCAUAAUUUAGAAUUAAAGAUAGGCUGAGAUUUCAAACCAGUUUAUAAUAUAAAAUUAUGCUGUUUUCUAAAACUCGAGAUGAUACAUUUUUGCACCAUCUCAUUCUUGUAAAGGGCUAUUUAAUGUCAUUGUAACUAUACCAAGAAUUACUAUUCAUACAACAAUG